rnacentral:rRNA from 1 species
UGGGGAAUCUUGCACAAUGGGGGCAACCCUGAUGCAGCGACGCCGCGUGAGCGAUGAAGCCCUUCGGGGCGUAAAGCUCUUUCGACCGGAACGAUAAUGACGGUACCGGGAGAAGAAGCUGCGGCUAACUACGUGCCAGCAGCCGCGGUAAUACGUAGGCAGCAAGCGUUGUUCGGAGUUACUGGGCGUAAAGAGUGCGUAGGCGAUUUUCUAAGUUCGGUGUGAAAUCUCCCGGCGUAACUGGGAGGGUGCGCCGAAGACUGGGAAGCUGGAGUGUGGGAAAGGCAGGCGGAAUUCCUGGUGUAGCUGUGAAAUGCGUAGAUAUCAGGAGGAACACCGGCGGUGUAGACGGCUUGCUAGACCAUAACUGACGCUGAGGCACGAAAGCGUGGGUAGCAAACA